rnacentral:rRNA from 1 species
AACANAAAGCCACAUGGCUUUUGUUUGAAAGAUGGCUUUGGCUAUCACUCUGGGAUGGACCUGCGGUGCAUUAGCUAGUUGGUAAGGUAACGGCUUACCAAGGCGAUGAUGCAUAGCCGAGUUGAGAGACUGAUCGGCCACAAUGGAACUGAGACACGGUCCAUACUCCUACGGGAGGCAGCAG